UUAAUGUUUUGUAUUGAUUCAGACACAAACUAUUCUGCAUAAAUGCGGCGCCGGAGCGCCGAAGCACGGGUCGCUUCCACUGGUUUGAGCGUCGAGGGCGCGUGGCGCCGUUCGAUAAUGAUCCCUCCGCAGGUUCACCUACGGAGA
rnacentral:misc_RNA from 1 species